CUGAUGGCGACCGGCGCACGGGUGAGUAACACGUAUCCAACCUGCCGAUGACUCGGGGAUAGCCUUUCGAAAGAAAGAUUAAUACCCGAUGGCAUAGUUCUUCCGCAUGGUAGAACUAUUAAAGAAUUUCGGUCAUCGAUGGGGAUGCGUUCCAUUAGGUUGUUGGCGGGGUAACGGCCCACCAAGCCUUCGAUGGAUAGGGGUUCUGAGAGGAAGGUCCCCCACAUUGGAACUGAGACACGGUCCAA
rnacentral:rRNA from 1 species